rnacentral:rRNA from 1 species
UACGUAGGGUGCGAGCGUUAAUCGGAAUUACUGGGCGUAAAGCGUGCGCAGGCGGUUCGCUGUGUCCGAUGUGAAAGCCCCGGGCUUAACCUGGGAAUGGCAUUGGAAACUGGCGGGCUUGAGUGUGGCAGAGGGGGGUGGAAUUCCGCGUGUAGCAGUGAAAUGCGUAGAUAUGUGGAGGAACACCGAUGGCGAAGGCAGCCCCCUGGGUCAAGAUUGACGCUCAUGCACGAAAGCGUGGGGAGCAAACAGG